AAGUCGUAACAAGGUUUCCGUAGGUGAACCUGCGGAAGGAUCAUUAAUACGCUUUUGUUUGUAACAAAACAAAACGUUUUAAACUCCAAAAGAAAUACUGGAAAUAUAACUUCCGGAUGCGAAUGUUGGGAACUGAGUAAAAUCGGUUCUUUGAAAAAGGGACUUCAAGCAAUUGACACUUCAGAGUAGAGCAGUGAGGUGAAAUUCUCGUUUUCGAGCGAGAGUUUGGUUCUGAAAAACAUUUGUAUCCGGUUAUCAUAAUCUGUUCUACAACACAAAAUAUCAAACAAUAAACCCCAUGUACAACAACUUGAACUAAACAUUUUUUUGUUGUCUGCUCGCCCUUGUGUGAGAAGAUGCUACAAAGAAAAAACCUGAACUUAAGAACAACUCUUAACAACGGAUAUCUUGGUUCUC
rnacentral:misc_RNA from 1 species